rnacentral:rRNA from 1 species
GAUGAACGCUGGCGGCGUGCCUAAUACAUGCAAGUCGAGCGAACGGACGAGAAGCUUGCUUCUCUGAUGUUAGCGGCGGACGGGUGAGUAACACGUGGAUAACCUACCUAUAAGACUGGGAUAACUUCGGGAAACCGGAGCUAAUACCGGAUGAUAUUUUGAACCGCAUGGUUCAAAAGUGAAAGACGGUCUUGCUGUCACUUAUAGAUGGAUCCGCGCUGCAUUAGCUAGUUGGUAAGGUAACGGCUUACCAAGGCAACGAUGCAUAGCCGACCUGAGAGGGGGAUCGGCCAACCGGGAACUGGGAACCGGUCCAGACCCCCAGGGGAGGCAGCAGUAGGGAAUUUUCCGAAAGGGGCAAAAGCCUGACGGAGAAACGCCGCGGGGGUGAUGAAGGUCUUGGGAUCGUAAAACCCUUUUAUUAGGAAAAAAAAAAUGUGAAAGAAAUUGUGAACAUUUUGACGGUACCAAUAAAAAAAGCCCCGGCAAACUACGU